CUAAACCUGAAGAUCCUGUGAUAUACAGCACUAUAAAUGAUGAAAGCCCUAAUGAUCCCAACAAGAACAUAACCUACAGUACUAUUGAUCAUGUUCCUGGGAGUGAAGAAAAGCCUCCAGCAGGUGGAACAAUAUACAGCAUAACAUACAGUACUGUGGGUCCACACUGACAGCAACAGUGAGAACAACACAAGAACAGAACCUUCUGACCAACAUAAACAAAAUCAAUAAGAGAGGAU